rnacentral:rRNA from 1 species
UAAGGUCACGGCGAGACGAGCCGUUUAUCAUUACGAUUACGAUAGGUGUCAAGUGGAAGUGCAGUGAUGUAUGCAGCUGAGGCAUCCUAACAGACCGAGAGAUUUGAAC